CCUACGGGAGGCAGCAGUGAGGAAUAUUGGUCAAUGGGCGCGAGCCUGAACCAGCCAAGUAGCGUGAAGGAUGACUGCCCUACGGGUUGUAGACUUCUUUUAUAAAGGAAUAAAGUGAGGCACGUGUGCCUUUUUGUAUGUCCUUUAUGAAUAAGGAUGGGCUAACUCCGUGCCAGCAGCCGCGGUAAUACGGAGGAUGCGAGCGUUAGCCGGUUUUAUUGGGUGUAAAGGGUGCGUAGAUGGGUUGUUAAGUCAGUUGUGAAAGUUUGCGGCUCAACCGUAAAAUUGCAAUUGAUACUGGCAGGCUUGAGUGCAGUAGAGGUAGGCGGAAUUCGUGGUGUAGCGGUGAAAUGCUUAGAUAUCACGAAGAACUCCGAUUGCGAAGGCAGCUUACUAAGCUGCAACUGACAUUGAGGCUCGAAAGUGUGGGUAUCAAAUGGGAUUAGAUACCCGAGUAGUC
rnacentral:rRNA from 1 species